UACGAAGGGUGCAAGCGUUAAUCGGAAUUACUGGGCGUAAAGGGUGCGUAGGCGGUUGUUUAAGUCUGUCGUGAAAUCCCCCGGCUCAACUGGGGAACUGCGCGGGAAACUGCAGGGCUUGAGUUCGGGAGAGGGAAGCGGAAUUCCGGGUGUAGCGGUGAAAUGCGUAGAUAUCCGGAGGAACACCGGUGGCGAAGGCGGCUUCCUGGACCGACACUGACGCUGAGGCGCGAAAGCUAGGGGAGCAAACGGG
rnacentral:rRNA from 1 species